GAAGAGCAUAAUGAUUGAUGACUUCUUUCUGACUAAAACCGCCAAAUAGAACCACCUCGAAAAGCAUAGCCCCAAAUUGGCGACGCCAGCGGUGGCGCCACCGCAGAAGGCGGCAGGCGGGAAUUUUGAACCACCACCGCCAGCGGUGAUACAGCCUCCUGGAACGGACAUGACAAGCAUAUGUUUCAGAGACCAAUUGUGGCUAAACACGUACCCUCUUGAUCGAAACUUGAUCUUCGAUUACUUUGCUCUAUCUCCGUUCUAUGAUUGGACCUGCAACAAUGAGCAGCUAAGGAUGCGCUCCGUUCACCCUCUCGACAUCUCUCAACUCUCGAAAAUGACUGGCAUAGAAUAAACGAUUAGUGAAGUCAUGGAGCCACACCUCUUCAUUAUCCGUAAGCAAAAGAGGGAUAGUCCAGAUAAAGUCACGCUGAUGCUGGCAUAUUAUAUAUUAGAUGGUUCUAUUUACCAAGCACCACAGCUUUGUAAUGUCUUUGCAGCUCGAGUUAUACUAUUAUGCACAUAUCAUCUUUUGGAUAUUUAUUGAUAACUUACCAAUGUGACGGGGACAUGCUCUAUAUUAUAUAGCAAAAGCUUUUACCGCUGCUGCAUCAAAAUUGGAGAAGAUUGGAUAUGAUACCACCAGCCCCUCUGCCACCCCCAUUUCCUGACGGAUUUAUUCCCCCUAAAACAACAGAAGUAGAGAAAGACCCAGAAAACCAGCAAGAAGUAGAACCACAACCUCCUGUUGUUGAUCCCAUCAUUGAUCAGGGUCCAGCUAAGAGAACGAAAUUUUGAAGUAGAAUAGCCGCCUCCUUGUUUUUUUCCUAUUUCAAUAGAGCAUUAGAACUUUUUUAGACUUUUAUUGGCCGCUAGCUGAGAGAAGGGAUCUAAUGUAAUGAGAAUACGUUGAAUUAUUAGCAAAUCUCUUCCAGUGUAAUUAUGUAACAAAAUGAUUUUUUCUUACCAAGAUGUGAUUUGUUCUCCAUGUUUCUCAUCUUUGGCUACGUUUGGAUAUGGUUCAGACGAGUUGCAAGUUACCUCCAGUUUUAUAUAUUGCAGUCGGGUAACCUCUAUUGCCAUUUGUCAAUGAUAGAGAGCCACAGCAGCCAUGGGCUCAUUUUCAUAAUUUUUUUUUUCAUUUUUGGUUUUAUUAUAGAUAUGAUCUAUGAAAUGUGGAAAUAUUCACUGGUUCAAAAACGGGGCGGUUGCUAAGAUGUUGCCAAAUUUGCAUAGCAAUCAUGAGGGUGUUUCUAAUCGCCUCUUUUCAUGGGACCAAAAGAAGAUCAGGGCAAAACUUGACGUUAUCAGACAUCCGAAAUCUGAGGUACAUGAUGAUGAAAGGAGACAAUUCUACUUAUGGGCAACAAAAUGAGACAAUUCCUUCCACCAGGGGUCACGGCCAACAACGGAAUGCAAAGCUUUAGGCAAUUCCUGAUUUCCUGUUCACUUAUAUUGGCAAAGCCUGAAAUCACACCAGAACAUUUAUCAGUUUAAAUAUGCGGCAUGUAAAUUUAUAAAGCGGAGACCAACAAACUAUUACUUGAUGAAUAUGUUUUGAGGGUCAAGUUGAUUUUCAUGACUUGAACCAUGGUGCUGAAAAGUAGUUGCUUAUUUCCUUGCCACUGCUGAAAGCAAAUUCUAUAAUUUCAACAAGUGUACUACUUAACUGGUAAAAGUCAUUGGUUUUAGAUUAUUAUAAUUU